rnacentral:rRNA from 1 species
UACGGAGGGAGCUAGCGUUGUUCGGAAUUACUGGGCGUAAAGCGCGCGUAGGCGGCUUUGUAAGUUAGAGGUGAAAGCCCGGGGCUCAACUCCGGAACUGCCUUUAAGACUGCAUCGCUUGAAUCCGGGAGAGGUGAGUGGAAUUCCGAGUGUAGAGGUGAAAUUCGUAGAUAUUCGGAAGAACACCAGUGGCGAAGGCGGCUCACUGGCCCGGUACUGACGCUGAGGUGCGAAAGCGUGGGGAGCAAACAGG